UACGAAGGGGGCUAGCGUUGCUCGGAAUCACUGGGCGUAAAGGGUGCGUAGGCGGGUCUUUAAGUCAGGGGUGAAAUCCUGGAGCUCAACUCCAGAACUGCCUUUGAUACUGAGGAUCUUGAGUUCGGGAGAGGUGAGUGGAACUGCGAGUGUAGAGGUGAAAUUCGUAGAUAUUCGCAAGAACACCAGUGGCGAAGGCGGCUCACUGGCCCGAUACUGACGCUGAGGCGCGAAAGCGUGGGUAGCAAACAGG
rnacentral:rRNA from 1 species